rnacentral:rRNA from 1 species
GCAUAACGCGAAGAACCUUACCAGGGCUUGACAUGCCCCUGACCGGUGUAGAGAUACACCUUUAUCCUUCGGGGUACAGGGGACACAGGUGGUGCAUGGUUGUCGUCAGCUCGUGUCGUGAGAUGUUGGGUUAAGUCCCGCAACGAGCGCAACCCUUGCCUUUAGUUGCUAACAUUAAGUUGGGCACUCUAGAGGGACUGCCGAUGAUAAAUCGGAGGAAGGUGGGGAUGACGUCAAAUCAUCAUGCCCUUUAUGUCCUGGGCUACACACGUGCUAUAAUGGUCGGUACAACGAGCAGCUACCUAGCGAUAGGAUGCAAAUCUCUAAAAGCCGAUCCCAGUUCAGAUUGUAGGCUGCAACUCGCCUACAUGAAGUCGGAAUCGCUAGUAAUGGCGCAUCAGCAACGGCGCCGUGAAUACGUUCCCGGGUCUUGUACACACCG